rnacentral:lncRNA from 1 species
CGCUCCAGGAUGCAGGCUGUUCAGAGGAAAAGGUCUGGACAAGGAGAGGAAGCGGAAAGGAAGGCAAGAGCUCUUGGUUGGAGUUGGGGGCAAUGUGCACCACUACUGGUUGCUGGGUAGCGGACAGUGGAGGAAUGCUGUCCCCUGGCUGUGCUUUCUCUCCUUGGCCUGCCUUGCUGAGCUCCAUCCACCAGGUGUGUGGAGUGGCCCCUCAGGUACCUCCAGCCUCCACAGUGGCCUCCAGGGAAGGACUCAGUCCAAAAGGAGGAGGAGUUGGUGGCCCUGAGGAGCUACACUGCUGCAGGCAUGAGGAGCAUGCUUCCUGUCAUGAAGAGCAGCCUUGCAGUCUGGGGCAUCUCCAAGCAGGAGCCAGGAAGGAGGUUUGGGAGAGGUGACCACAGUAGCUGUCAUGAAAGAAGGCUAUACAGAGUUGGCAGAAAUCAAAGAUAAACUUCCAUCUUCAUGCUUUCGCACAGAACUGGCAGAUGAUGCUGAAUAUUUCAAGGACUUUCUAAGAAUGACAUUGAUACAUAUCGUGAUCUUUCAAAGGAAGUGAGGAAGAUGCAUCAGGGGAAGCUCCUUACCACGGCAGAACAGACGGCUUGACACAUGCUGGGCUUCCUGUCCACUGCAUGGCCUGCUGAACAUGACAGUGAACACAUACACUCACCUUCCACCCUACACCCUCUCCACUUGGAGAAGUGCUGGGGUAGGAGCCAUUCCAGCUGCAAAAACCAGUGUCCCACACCCAGAUUGCAC